rnacentral:rRNA from 1 species
UACGUAGGGUCCGAGCGUUGUCCGGAAUUACUGGGCGUAAAGAGCUCGUAGGUGGUUUGUCGCGUUGUUCGUGAAAACUCACAGCUCAACUGUGGGCGUGCGGGCGAUACGGGCAGACUUGAGUACUGCAGGGGAGACUGGAAUUCCUGGUGUAGCGGUGGAAUGCGCAGAUAUCAGGAGGAACACCGGUGGCGAAGGCGGGUCUCUGGGCAGUAACUGACGCUGAGGAGCGAAGGCGUGGGGAGCAAACAGG